rnacentral:lncRNA from 10 species
UUUCUGUCAAGCUGCUCUCUUCAACUAGCUAGGGUCCAUCUAUGAUAAACUCACAGCCAACAUCAUACUGAAUGGGCAAAAGCUUGAAUCAUUCCCCUUAAGAACUGGAACAAGACAAGGAUACCCACUCUCACCACUCCUAUUCAACAUAGUACUAGAAGUCCUAGACAGAGCAGUCAUGCAAGAAAAAGAAAUAAAAGGCAUCCAAAUAGGAAACCAAGAAGCCAAACAAUUUCUCUUUACUGACAAUUAUGAUUCUAUGCCUAGAAAAUCCUAAAGACUCUGCCAAAAGACUCCUAGAAUUGAAAAACCACUUUAAUACAGUUUCAAGAUACAAAAUCAAUGCACAAAAAUCAGUAGCAUUUCUAUACACCAACAGCAUCCAGGGUGCACGUGGAAUAAAAAACACAAUCCUACUCAAAAUAGCCACAAAGAAAAUGAAAUUAUCUAGGAAUACAGCUAACCAAAGAGGUGAAAGACCUGUACAAAGAGAACCACCAAACACUGCUGAAAGAAUUCAGAAAUGACACAAAUGAACAGAAAACAUUCCAUGCUCAUGGAUUGAAAGAAUCAAUGUCAUUUGAAAUGUCCAUACUGCACGAAGUAAUUUAAAGAUUCAAUGCUAUUCCUAUCAAACUACCAAUGUCAUUCUUCAUAGGAUUAGAAAAACUGUUCUAAAAUUAAUAUGGGACCAAAAACAGCUCAAAUAGCCAAAGCAAUCCUAAGCAAAAGGAACAAAGUCUCACAUUACCUGACUUCAAGUUAUGCUAUAAAGCCACAGUAACCAAAACAGCUUUGUAUUGGUACAAAAACACAUAAUGGAACAGAAUAGAAAACUCAGAAAUAAAGCUGCACAUCUACAACUAUCUGAUCUUUGACAAGGUCAACAAAAACAAGCAAUGGAAAAGGAUACACAAUUCAACAAAUGGUGCUAGGAUAACUGGCUAGCCAUAUACAGAAGAAUGAAGUUGGACUCCCACCUUUCACCAUAUACAAAAACUAAUUCAAAAUAAAUGAAAAAAAUUUAAUGUAAGACCUCAAGCUAUAAAAAUCCUGGAAGACAACCUAGUAAAUACUCUUCUCAACAUCAACCUUGGCAAAUAAUUUUUGACUAAGUCCCCAAAAGCAAUUGCAACAAAAACAAACACAGACAGUGGGGCCUAAUUAAACUGAAGAGCUUCUGCAGAGCAAAAGAAACUACUGACAGAGCAAACAGACAAUCCCUACAGAAUGGGAGAAGGUAUUCACAAACUGCAUCUGAUAAAGACCUAAUAUCCAUGAUCUGUAAGGAACUUAAGCAAAUCAGCAAGCAAAAACCAAAUAACCCCAUUAAAAAAUGGGCAAAGGACAUGAACAGACACUUCUCAAAAGAAGACACACAACUGGCAAAAAAAUGAAAAAAUCCUCAUUAUCACUUAUUAUCAGAGAAAUGCAACUCAAAACCACAAUGAGAUAGCAUCUCACACCAGUCAGAAUGGUGAUUAUUGAAAAGUCAAAAAAUAACAGUUGCUGGUGAGGCUGCAAAGAAAAGAGAACACUUACACACUUUUGUUGGGAAUGUAAAUCAGUCCAGCCACUGAAAAAAGCAGUCUAGAGAUUUCUCAAAUAACUUAAAACCAAGCUACAAGUCAACCUAGCAAUCCCAUUAUUGGAUAUGUACCCAAAAGAAAAUAAAUCAUUCUCCCAAAAGACACAUGCACUCAUAAGUUCAUCUCUGCACUAUUCACAAUACCAAAGACAUGGAAUCAACCCAAGUGCCCAUCAAUGUUUGACUGGAUAAAGAAAAUGUGGUACAUGUACACCAUUGAGUCAUAAAAAAUGGAGUUAUAAAAAUACACUAUGCAGUUAUAAAAAAUGAAAUCAUGCUCUUUGCAACAACAUGGAUGGAGCUUGAGGCCAUAAUCUCAAGCAAAUUAAUGCAGAAACAGAAAAACAAAUGCCACAUAUUCUCACUUAUAUGUGGGAGCUAUACAUUGAUCACACAUGGACUUAAAUAUGGAAAUAAUAGGCACUGUGGACCAUGAGAGGGUGGAGGGAGAGUGAAAAAAAACUAUCAAGUGCUGUGCUCACUACCUGGAUGACAGGAUCUGCACUCUAAACUUCAGCAUCAUGCAAUAUUUCCAUUUAGCACAUCUGCACAUAUAUCCUUUAUAGCUAAAAUAAAAGCUGCAAAAAUAAAAAAUAUAGUUGCUGAUGGAAAAGGAUAACUAUCUGUUGCUCUAGAUGGGGAAAGCAUGGAGAAUGGUGAAAAAGGAUAGGGAAGGUAGAAGGCACACAGGUCUACCCCUCCCCACUUGCUUUCAGCCUGUGUUGGGAAGCUGGAUUUUUCUGCACCCAGAGUAACCAACCUAUAGGGCGCUAGUGGCAUGUAUUGGGUUGUACAAG